AACUUAAAGGAAUUGACGGGGGCCCGCACAAGCGGUGGAGCAUGUGGUUUAAUUCGAUGAUACGCGAGGAACCUUACCUGGGCUCAAAUGUAUGUUUGACGUAUUCUGAAAGGGAUACUUCUUCGGACAAUAUACAAGGUGCUGCAUGGUUGUCGUCAGCUCGUGCCGUGAGGUGUCGGGUUAAGUCCCAUAACGAGCGCAACCCCUACUGCUAGUUGCCAGCGGGUCAUGCCGGGGACUCUAGCGGAACUGCCAGCGUAAGCUGCGAGGAAGGUGGGGAUGACGUCAAAUCAGCACGGCCCUUACGUCCAGGGCUACACACGUGUUACAAUGGCCGGUACAGAGGGCAGCCACCCCGCGAGGGGGCGCGAAUCCCGAAAGCCGGUCCCAGUUCGGAUCGGAGUCUGCAACCCGACUCCGUGAAGCUGGAUUCGCUAGUAAUCGCGCAUCAGCCACGGCGCGGUGAAUACGUUCCCGGGCCUU
rnacentral:rRNA from 1 species